rnacentral:misc_RNA from 1 species
GUAGUUUCAGAUCUGUGGAAACCUGAAAAGUAUAGAUCGAAUUCAGAAAUGAAAAGUAGAUACCAAUUAUUCAACUAAUUAACUACAAAAGCAACCAUAAUUUCCCCAAGGCAACUGCUUUGAAAAAAAAAAAUAGAGGGUGUGCAUAUAAGAUUUAGUCUUAACAUGUUAGUAGGCACAUCAGAUAUCCACAACUAUGACCUAUUGAAAUUUCAAACCCAAGUUAUUUGAAGAGCUGCUUUCAUAUCUUUUAUAGCUUGUUUU